AGGGCACCACCAGGAGUGGAGCCUGCGGCUUAAUUUGACUCAACACGGGAAAACUCACCCGGCCCGGACACUGGAAGGAUUGACAGAUUGAGAGCUCUUUCUUGAUUCAGUGGGUGGUGGUGCAUGGCCGUUCUUAGUUGGUGGAGUGAUUUGUCUGGUUAAUUCCGAUAACGAACGAGACUCUAGCCUACUAAAUAGAUCGUCGGCUUACAAACGCCGGCGAGACUUCUUAGAGGGACAGGCGGUGAUUCAACCGCACGAAACAGAGCAAUAACAGGUCUGUGAUGCCCUUAGAUGUCCGGGGCCGCACGCGCGCUACACUGAAGUGAUCAGCGUGCUUUUUCAACCUACUCUGUCAAGAGUGGGGAACCCAAUGAACCUUCUUCGUGAUCGGGAUAGGGGAUUGUAAUUAUUCCCCUUGAACGAGGAAUUCCCAGUAAGCGCGAGUCAUAAGCUCGCGUUGAUUACGUCCCUGCCCUUUGUACACACCGCCCGUCGCUACUACCGAUUGAAUGUUUU
rnacentral:rRNA from 1 species